GACGGGUGAGUAACACGUGGGAACGUACCCUUAGGUUCGGAAUAACCCGUGGGAAACUAGGGCUAAUACCGGAUAUCUCGGUGACGAGAAAGGCUUGUCCGCCUGAGGAAUGGCCCGCGUCCGAUUAGCUAGUUGGUGUGGUAAUGGCGCACCAAGGCGACGAUCGGUAGCUGGUCUGAGAGGAUGACCAGCCACAUUGGGACUGAGACACGGCCCAAACUCCUACGGGAGGCAGCAGUGGGGAAUAUUGGACAAUGGGCGCGAGCCUGAUCCAGCCAUGCCGCGUGAGUGAUGACGGCCUUAGGGUUGUAAAGCUCUUUUACCUGGGAAGAUAAUGACGGUACCAGGAGAAUAAGCCCCGGCUAACUUCGUGCCAGCAGCCGCGGUAAU
rnacentral:rRNA from 1 species